rnacentral:lncRNA from 1 species
CCCAAAUCCUCUUUCCUUGAACAUUUGGGAGAUGGGAUGACAUUGGGGUGUCCCCAAAUUCUCUUUCCUCGGACAUUUGGGACAUGGGGUGACAUUGGGGUGUCCCCAAAUCCUCUUUCUUUGGACAUUUGGGACAUGGGGUGACAUUGGGGUGUCCCCAAACCCCACAGGAUGAGCGGCUGUUGUGUCCUUAAAUCCUUUUUCCUUGGAUGUUUUGGAGAUGGGGUGACCCCAAAUCCUCUCUCCUUGGACAUUUGGGAUAUGGGGUGACAUUGGGGUGUCCCCAAAUCCUCUUUCCUUGAACAUUUGGGAUAUGGGAUGAUGUUGGGGUGUCCCCAAAUCCUCUUCCCUCAGACAUUUGGGACAUGGGGUGACAUUGGGGUGUUCCCAAAUCCUCCUUCUUUGGACAUUUGGAUAUGGAGUGACAUUGUAGUGUCCCCAAAUCCUCUUUCCUUGAACAUUUGGGACAUGGGGUGACAUUGUGGUGUCCCCAAAUCCUCUUUCCUUGGACAUUUGGGAUAUGGGGUGACAUUGGGGUGUCCCCAAGUCCUCUUUCCUUGGGCAUUGGGGACAUGGGGUGACAUUGGGGUGUCCCCAAACCCCACAGGAUGAGCGGCUGUUGCGUCCCUUCCUGGACAAGACUCUGACCUCACGCCUGGGGAUGCGCAUGCUGGCGUCCCAUCACCUGGCCCUACACGAGGACAAGCCCGACUUCGUGGGCAUCAUCUGCACCCGGCUGUCACCCAAAAAGAUCAUCGAGAAGUGGGUCGACUUCGCCCGGUGAGCCUUUUUGGGGUCCUGUGGGUCCCAUAUGGGGCUGUAGGAAGCACUCAAAGGGUUUUUAUAGGGCUGUGGGGAUGGAAAGGUUUUAGGGGUUUUUGUAGGGUGUCCCUUUGGGGCUGGGGGCGUCCCUAUGGGUCUGGGGUCAUCCCUAUGGGUCUCUGGGGCGUCCCUAUGGGUCUGGGGGUGACCUUAUGGGUCUGGGGGUGUCCCUAUAGGUCUCUGGGUGUCCCUAUGGGUCUGGGGGUGUCCGUAUAGAUCUGGGGGCGUCCCUAUAAGCCUUAGUGAUGUCCCUAUAGAUCUCAGAGUAUCUCUGUAGGUCUUGGGGUGUCCCUAUGGGUCUGGGGGUGUCCCUAUAGGUUUGGGGGUGUCCCUAUGGGUUUGGGGGUGUCCCU